CCUUCGGGAGGCAGCAGUGGGGAAUAUUGGACAAUGGGGGCAACCCUGAUCCAGCCAUGCCGCGUGUGUGAAGAAGGCCCUCGGGUUGUAAAGCACUUUCAGUGAGGAAGAACGCCUGGUGGUUAAUACCCAUCAGGAAAGACAUCACUCACAGAAGAAGCACCGGCUAACUCCGUGCCAGCAGCCGCGGUAAUACGGAGGGUGCGAGCGUUAAUCGGAAUUACUGGGCGUAAAGCGCGCGUAGGUGGCUUGAUAAGCCGGUUGUGAAAGCCCCGGGCUCAACCUGGGAACGGCAUCCGGAACUGUCAAGCUAGAGUGCAGGAGAGGAAGGUAGAAUUCCCGGUGUAGCGGUGAAAUGCGUAGAGAUCGGGAGGAAUACCAGUGGCGAAGGCGGCCUUCUGGACUGACACUGACACUGAGGUGCGAAAGCGUGGGUAGCAAACAGGAUUAGAUACCCUAGUAGUC
rnacentral:rRNA from 1 species